CGAACGCUGGCGGCGUGCCUAAUACAUGCAAGUAGAACGCUGAAGGAGGAGCUUGCUUCUCUGGAUGAGUUGCGAACGGGUGAGUAACGCGUAGGUAACCUGCCUGGUAGCGGGGGAUAACUAUUGGAAACGAUAGCUAAUACCGCAUAAGAGUAGAUGUUGCAUGACAUUUGCUUAAAAGGUGCAAUUGCAUCACUACCAGAUGGACCUGCGUUGUAUUAGCUAGUUGGUGAGGUAACGGCUCACCAAGGCGACGAUACAUAGCCGACCUGAGAGGGUGAUCGGCCACACUGGGACUGAGACACGGCCCAGGCUCCUACGGGAGGCAGCAGUAGGGAAUCUUCGGCAAUGGACGGAAGUCUGACCGAGCAACGCCGCGUGAGUGAAGAAGGUUUUCGGAUCGUAAAGCUCUGUUGUAAGAGAAGAACGAGUGUGAGAGUGGAAAGUUCACACUGUGACGGUAUCUUACCAGAAAGGGACGGCUAACUACGUGCCAGCAGCCGCGGUAAUACGUAGGUCCCGAGCGUUGUCCGGAUUUAUUGGGCGUAAAGCGAGCGCGGGCGGUUAGAUAAGUCUGAAGUUAAAGGCUGUGGCUUAACCAUAGUACGCUUUGGAAACUGUUUAACUUGAGUGCAAGAGGGGAGAGUGGAAUUCCAUGUGUAGCGGUGAAAUGCGUAGAUAUAUGGAGGAACACCGGUGGCGAAA
rnacentral:rRNA from 1 species